rnacentral:misc_RNA from 1 species
UGCCCACUGCAUCAACGCGGCAGCGGGUUUGCACAGGGGGCGCGAGCCGCGAGCAGUGCAGACAGCCACACGCACACGCACACGCACACGCACGUACAAAAACCAUUACACGUCGACUACACGUGCCCCAUCAUAUCGUUCGUCUUCCUCAGGAAAAGAAAGCGUGCCUGAGGAGCCUUUCGCCUCUUUUCGAGCAUCUCGUUCCACUUCACGCCCCUCCUUCCUGCCUCUCAUCCGGAGCUCAAGCACACGGCAGCCAUGUUUACCCAGAUUAGCAAUGCACACACAGAGGUGGUGACCUCUCUUGUGUUUUCGCCCCACGUCGUCACGACUGGCGAGGGAGGUCUGCUCUGCUCCACCUCUGGCGAUGACACGACGGCGCUGUGGGACCUGCGAGCCGGCCCCGGGGCGUCGCAGCGGGCCGCGCACCUCACCGGUCACCACGUCGGCCCUGUGAACCAUGCACUUUUUCACCCAUCCAAUGCGUACACGUUGCUGACGGCGUCCGAUGAUCGAAGCAUCGGCUGCUGGGAUCUGCGCCGUCCAGAUCGAGUCGUAGGCACGGUAUCCGGCUUUCAGGAAGGCGUGAACAAGAUGCUGUGGCUGCCAGUCACGUCGGACGGCUGCAGAGGCACUGGUGGCAGCAGCAGCGGCGGCGGCUGGAGGGUAGUGAGCGCCUGCGAUGACGGCCACGUGUACAUCCACGCACUCUCACUGUCCAACAGCGGCUCCGAGAGCGUUACUGUCGCUGACACUGCUCCUGUCCCGCAGGUGGGCGCGCUUGUGGACAAGUUUCGUGUGUCGACGAGCACUGUGAAUGAUAUCGUGCUCGCACCAAACUCUAUAUCGAUCCUCAUCACCGCCUCGGAGGAUUGCGCACUGCGGUCGUGGUCGUUACGGCACGCGCAGCAGAUGACCAACACGUCAGUAGGGUUGAUGGAAGACCGCCUGCUCGCCACUCUUGACGAGUUUGAGAACCCCGUGAACCACGUCGUGGUGGUGCCCAGUGGGCUCAUGGCGCCGGUGGAGAGCCGGGCAGCUGGCGAGGGCCCGGAGAGCGGCAGCAGCAGAAGCCUGGAUGGCGCUGCUGGUGACGCAGAGGAAUGCGCAGACGCGGCUUCGGCCUCCACAGGCUUUCCUCGCGCAUAUCAGCAAGUACACGGUGGAGACGUUGUCGAGGACGCCGAGGCGGGGAGCGACACUGGUAGCAGCGCAGGGGCACGACAGCCGCGAAGGGCUACGGACAUCUCUGAGGCUGCUGGGACCGGCUGCUGGCUGCUCGCCGCGUGCUCUGAGUGCGUCUUUGGUGUCGACUUUGCGCUGCGCAUCGGCGAGUUCGGCACCGGAGCCCGCGCGUUUGUGGGUCAUCAGGACUACGUGCGCGGACUUGAAUUCACGAGCGAGGGCAAGCUGCUGACCGUAUCGGACGACAGCACGGCCAUCGAGUGGGACCUUGCCACAACGGACCCCAUACGGCAGGUAAAGCUGCACGACGGUCUCGUCAUGUCAUCGGCGGUGUCGCCCUCGCGCGACUUGCUCGCCACCGGCACUGACCGCGGAGAACUUCGUGUGUGGCGCCUGCCGUUUGCGACGGAGCGGAUUGGUGGCUCGCCGUGAUACCGCGCAGCCGCAUCGCAGGCGCACAUGCGCACACAUCCACGCAUGCGCCCUCCCGUUUGAUUCGUGUUUUACUGCACCCUCCCUGAAGACGGCCGGACGCACGCCUCAGCGCGCGGCACCACGGGGUCCAGCACCCCUUCCACUCUGUGUGCGGAGGCCACGCAGCCCCCCUUAUCCCUGCCACUGCCGGCCGGCGUGUGGUGGGGACAGGGCCAGGCACCCGUGUCGUGGGGGAGGUGGAUGCAAUGAAUCACUGCUGAUGUCGGCGGCGACGUCGUGGACGGUGUUGCGUGGGCGAUACCUGCGACCGUGAGCACGCUUGCACGGCCCAUAUGAGGGGCAGAGUGGCAGCGUGACUCGAGCGUAUCCCACCCCUCGGCCAUGACUGCCUCCCGGUGGGGAGUCUGGGCCACGGCGAGAGAUGCGCCAGGUGGUGGCCAGCCCAAUGGGGGAGCGGCUGUGGGGCGACGUGCGAAGCGGUGAGGGGGCGGGUGGGGGUUGAGGGGCCGAGCGCAUGCGGAGCCGACUGCGUCUGCGCAUUUGCUGCCGCGUGCGCGCGUGUGUGCGUGUGCGGCCGCUUCGCACCACGCGACGGUGCCUGUGACGGGGCCAUCGCCGGGGGAGGGGAGAGGGGGCGGAGAGUGGUGGAGUGGAGCUGCGGACAUGUUGUGUGGCAGAGAGGGGGGCUUGUGGAGAGAAUAGACUGCGUAUUGACGAGAAGCUAAGCGGAUUAAUUAAGCGAAUGCAGCUUGCGGAUACCGAGAGGAGGUCAUCCAGAGGGAUGAGGGGAGAGGGCCGGUGUGAGUGUCCAUAUUGUGGCAUCGGUCCGUGAUCGCCGGUGGCGCUUCCGACGCACGCGCUCUCUCCGGCACGCGAAUAUAGACCUCUUCUCCAUGAGGUUCUCACCUCACGUGCCGUUCUGCCGCAUCCACCUUUUUCGCCUCACAUAUCGCUGCCGACGGACGGGCACACACGCGUACAUAUACGGAGGUGCCGUUGACAAGAAGACUCUGCGUGCACCCAAGUCAGUGGAAGCCUAAAGGUGCGAAGGCUUUGGCGGAGGAGUGGCUGAUAGAGAGACACACAGAUACGUGUAGACAG